GAUGAACGCUGGCGGCGUGCCUAAUACAUGCAAGUCGAGCGAACAGACGAGGAGCUUGCUCCCCUGACGUUAGCGGCGGACGGGUGAGUAACACGUGGAUAACCUACCUAUAAGACUGGGAUAACUUCGGGAAACCGGAGCUAAUACCGGAUAAUAUAUUGAACCGCAUGGUUCAAUAGUGAAAGACGGUUUUGCUGUCACUUAUAGAUGGAUCCGCGCCGCAUUAGCUAGUUGGUAAGGUAACGGCUUACCAAGGCAACGAUGCGUAGCCGUCCUGAGAGGGUGAUCGGCCACACUGGAACUGAGACACGGUCCAGACUCCUACGGGAGGCAGCAGUAGGGAAUCUUCCGCAAUGGGCGAAAGCCUGACGGAGCAACGCCGCGUGAGUGAUGAAGGUCUUCGGAUCGUAAAACUCUGUUAUUAGGGAAGAACAAAUGUGUAAGUAACUAUGCACGUCUUGACGGUACCUAAUCAGAAAGCCACGGCUAACUACGUG
rnacentral:rRNA from 1 species